rnacentral:lncRNA from 1 species
GGUUUUCAAGCCCAAAAGGAUAUUGGAGAAAUACCUCAAUGAGAGAGAUGGGCACUGCAGGGAUUGAGAUGUGAACAUAUAGAGUCUAAAUAGUUUCUGAUAUCUGCUUGAAUGCCAGAUGGCAACUGCAUUCCUGACCUCUGGGGAAUGCAAAGUCUGUCUGAAGCCCAAGGAGAGCUCAGAGCAUCAAAGAUCCUGAGGCAGGUACUAAGGAGGUGCCUCCAAGGAGG